GAUGAAGAACGUAGCGAAAUGCGAUACGUAAUGUGAAUUGCAGAUCUCUCAGUGAACCAUCGAAUUUUUGAACGCACAUUGCGCCCCUUGGUAUCCCGAGGGGCAUGCCUGUUCGAGCGUCAUUUCACCACUCAAGCCUGGCUUGGUGUUGGGCGACGUCCCCUUUGGGGACGCGCCUCGAAACGCUCGGCGGCGUGGCACCGGCUUUAAGCGUAGCAGAAUCUUUCGCUUUGGAAGUCGGGGCCCCGUCUGCCGGAAGACCUACUCGCAAGGUUGACCUCGGAUCAGGCAGGGAUACCCGCUGAACUUAAGCAUAUCAAUAAGCGGAGGA
rnacentral:misc_RNA from 1 species